AACGCAUACGGCACCCGAGGCCUCGGCCGAGGGUAUGUCUGCCUCAGAGUCGGCGUAAAAACACUCCCCCGCGGUCUGCACGCCUCGUCGCGCGGACCGUCGGGUGGGAACUGGCCUUCCCGUGGAGCGGGCCUACAGCCCGCGGCAACACGGGUCUGCCGAAGGAGAGACACGGAACGGCCCCGGAGGGGGGGCCGGGGGGAGCACUCUCCCCCCGCCUUCCAAGGGCAGCGCGAUUUGGUGGGAGGAGCGGGGUCUGUAACCCACCUCGGUGGGUACACCCGGCGAUCCGCAUUCAUCGUCGCGUUGCCCGCGUCCAGUCGCCGCACCGCCGGAAAGUAAAGAUCGGCACGGGACGGGAUCCGAUCGCGAGAUCGGUGAUCGACCGCGCCGCGCAACCACUUCGACCUGAGUUCAGGCAAGAUCACCCGCUGAACUUAA
rnacentral:misc_RNA from 1 species